rnacentral:rRNA from 1 species
CCUACGGGAGGCAGCAGUGGGGAAUAUUGGGCAAUGGGCGCAAGCCUGACCCAGCAACGCCGCGUGAAGGAAGAAGGCUUUCGGGUUGUAAACUUCUUUGACAGGGGAAGAGCAGAAGACGGUACCCUGAGAACAAGCCACGGCUAACUACGUGCCAGCCGCCGCGGUAAUACGGAGGAUCCGAGCGUUAUCCGGAUUUAUUGGGUUUAAAGGGUGCGUAGGCGGUUUGAUAAGUUAGAGGUGAAAUGUCGGGGCUCAACCCCGAAACUGCCUCUAAUACUGUUGGACUAGAGAAUAGGUGCGGUAGGCGGAAUGUAUGGUGUAGCGGUGAAAUGCGUAGAGAUCAUGCAGAACACCGAUGGCGAAGGCAGCUUACCGAACUGUAACUGACGUUGAGGCGCGAAAGCGUGGGGAGCAAACAGGAUUAGAUACCCUUGUAGUC